GCCACGGUGGUCUAGCGGUUAGAACGCUGGCCUUGUAAUCCUGGGGUCUCGGGUUGGAUUCCCGGCCGUGCCC
rfam:Zootermopsis nevadensis contig34121, whole genome shotgun sequence.